rnacentral:rRNA from 1 species
UUAGAGGAAGUAAAAGUCGUAACAAGGUCUCCGUUGGUGAACCAGCGGAGGGAUCAUUACUGAGUUUACGCUCUAUAACCCUUUGUGAACAUACCUAUAACUGUUGCUUCGGCGGGUAGGGUCUCCGCGACCCUCCCGGCCUCCCGCCUCCGGGCGGGUCGGCGCCCGCCGGAGGAUAACCAAACUCUGAUUUAACGACGUUUCUUCUGAGUGGUACAAGCAAAUAAUCAAAACUUUUAACAACGGAUCUCUUGGUUCUGGCAUCGAUGAAGAACGCAGCGAAAUGCGAUAAGUAAUGUGAAUUGCAGAAUUCAGUGAAUCAUCGAAUCUUUGAACGCACAUUGCGCCCGCCAGCAUUCUGGCGGGCAUGCCUGUUCGAGCGUCAUUUCAACCCUCAAGCUCUGCUUGGUGUUGGGGCCCUACAGCUGAUGUAGGCCCUCAAAGGUAGUGGCGGACCCUCCCGGAGCCUCCUUUGCGUAGUAACUUUACGUCUCGCACUGGGAUCCGGAGGGACUCUUGCCGUAAAACCCCCCAAUUUCCAAAGGUGACCUCGAUCAGGU